CAGUCGCCGCGGGAAUACGAAGGGUGCAAGCGUUAAUCGGAAUUACUGGGCGUAAAGCGUGCGUAGGCGGUUUGUUAAGUCUGCUGUGAAAUCCCCGGGCUCAACCUGGGAAUGGCAGUGGAUACUGGCAAGCUAGAGUGUGUCAGAGGAUGGUGGAAUUCCCGGUGUAGCAGUGAAAUGCGUAGAUAUAGGAAGGAACACCAGUGGCGAAGGCGACCACCUGGACUGAUACUGACACUGAGGUGCGAAAGCGUGGGGAGCAAACAGGAUUAGAUACCCCCGUAGUCCCUGUCUCUUAUAC
rnacentral:rRNA from 1 species